GCAGCCCGCCAUGCCUGAGCUUCCCCCCGACCCGCCUUGGGCUCCUGUGCGGCCGGAGCCCAUGUGAAGAGCACUCAUGUUAAAACUGUGGCUUUGUCACAGACUGCAAUUGCAAAUUGUCUGGAAUAGUUAAAUGGUGAGCUAUUCUUAAUACCUUUGGCAAAAACUCUACUUGCAGUAUGAUGACCGGAGACACAGCUGUUGGAGGAAAAAAGUUUAUGUCAAUUAAAAUCCUGAAUUUCUCUGAUCUGGAAAGAAAAACUGCUAUGAACUCUUUAGGUUUCAGAUAAUGAAUACAAGAGUAAACAGGAACCCUGACUUACAGCAUAGGACUACAGGACUGGGGAGAGAAUCAUGCUACAACUGCAGUCGAGGUAUGUGCGAAGCGCCAUCUGGCUUUGAACUUACUAAAGUGUUUGGAUUUUUGAACUGCACCUCUUCAAGAAUCUGUUUCCUCUUAAUUGGGAGUACCUAAGCCUAAGCCGUAUUAGCCAAUAGUUCGUAGUUAUGCUUUUCACAACUUUGAUGCCAACACAAGUGCUGAAGAGGAUGUUACAUGAGAGAAAGAUGGAUUCAUAUGUGGAAAAGCCUUCUAAGGAUAAAGUCUACCAUAUACUGACUUACUUUUGGAGG
rnacentral:lncRNA from 1 species